rnacentral:rRNA from 1 species
UACGGAGGGUGCGAGCGUUGUCCGGAAUCAUUGGGCGUAAAGGGCGCGUAGGUGGCCCGGUCAGUCUUUGGUGAAAGCGCGGGGCUCAACCCUGCGUCGGCCAGGGAUACUGCCGCGGCUGGAGCACUGUAGAGGCAGGCGGAAUUCCGGGUGUAGCGGUGGAAUGCGUAGAGAUCCGGAAGAACACCGGUGGCGAAGGCGGCCUGCUGGGCAGUUGCCGACACUGAGGCGCGACAGCGUGGGGAGCAAACAGG